UACGGAGGGAACUAGCGUUGUUCGGAUUUACUGGGCGUAAAGAGCGCGUAGGCGGUUUAUUAAGUUAGAAGUGAAAGCCCAGGGCUUAACCCUGGAACUGCUUCUAAAACUGAUAGACUAGAGUACGGGAGAGGAUAGUGGAAUUCCUAGUGUAGAGGUGAAAUUCUUAGAUAUUAGGAGGAACACCGGUGGCGAAAGCGACUAUCUGGAACGUUACUGACGCUGAGGCGCGAAAGCGUGGGGAGCAAACAGGAUUAGAUACCCCAGUAGU
rnacentral:rRNA from 1 species